rnacentral:rRNA from 1 species
CCUACGGGAGGCAGCAGUGAGGAAUAUUGGUCAAUGGGCGGAAGCCUGAACCAGCCAAGUAGCGUGCAGGAUGACGGCCCUACGGGUUGUAAACUGCUUUUAUACGGGAAUAACGCGCCUUACGCGUACGUCUUUGCAUGUACUGUAUGAAUAAGGACCGGCUAAUUCCGUGCCAGCAGCCGCGGUAAUACGGAAGGUCCGGGCGUUAUCCGGAUUUAUUGGGUUUAAAGGGAGCGUAGGCCGCAUGUCAAGCGUGCUGUGAAAUGUCCGGGCUCAACCCGGGCCGUGCAGCGCGAACUGGCGGGCUUGAGUCCGCGGAAGGCAGGCGGAAUUCGUCGUGUAGCGGUGAAAUGCUUAGAUAUGACGAAGAACCCCGAUUGCGAAGGCAGCUUGCUGCAAAGGAACUGACGCUGAUGCUCGAAAGCGCGGGUAUCGAACAGGAUUAGAUACCCCAGUAGUC